GCAUAUCAAUAAGCGGAGGAAAAGAAACCAACCGGGAUUGCCCUAGUAACGGCGAGUGAAGCGGCAACAGCUCAAAUUUGAAAUCUGGCUCUUUUAGAGUCCGAGUUGUAAUUUGCAGAGGGCGCUUUGGCUUUGGCAGCGGUCCAAGUUCCUUGGAACAGGACGUCACAGAGGGUGAGAAUCCCGUACGUGGUCGCUGGCUAUUGCCGUGUAAAGCCCCUUCGACGAGUCGAGUUGUUUGGGAAUGCAGCUCUAAAUGGGAGGUACAUUUCUUCUAAAGCUAAAUAUUGGCCAGAGACCGAUAGCGCACAAGUAGAGUGAUCGAAAGAUGAAAAGCACUUUGGAAAGAGAGUCAAACAGCACGUGAAAUUGUUGAAAGGGAAGCGCUUGCAGCCAGACUUGCUUGCAGUUGCUCAUCCGGGCUUUUGCCCGGUGCACUCUUCUGCAGGCAGGCCAGCAUCAGUUUGGGCGGUAGGAUAAAGGUCUCUGUCACGUACCUCUCUUCGGGGAGGCCUUAUAGGGGAGGCGACAUACUACCAGCCUGGACUGAGGUCCGCGCAUCUGCUAGGAUGCUGGCGUAAUGGCUGUAAGCGGCCCGUCUUGAAACACGGACC
rnacentral:rRNA from 1 species